rnacentral:misc_RNA from 1 species
GAUGAAGAACGUAGCGAAAUGCGAUAAGUAAUGUGAAUUGCAGAAUUCAGUGAAUCAUCGAAUCUUUGAACGCACAUUGCGCCCGUCAGUAUUCUGGCGGGCAUGCCUGUUCGAGCGUCAUUACGCCCCUCAAGUCCCCUGUGGACUUGGUGUUGGGGAUCGGCGAGGCUGGUUUUCCAGCACAGCCGUCCCUUAAAUUAAUUGGCGGUCUCGCCGUGGCCCACCUCUGCGCAGUAGUAAAACACUCGCAACAGGAGCCCGGCGCGGUCCACUGCCGUAAAACCCCCCAACUUUUUAUAGUUGACCUCGAAUCAGGUAGGACUACCCGCUGAACUUAAGCAUAUCAAUAAGCGGAGGA